rnacentral:rRNA from 1 species
UACAGAGGGUGCAAGCGUUGUUCGGAAUUAUUGGGCGUAAAGCGCGUGUAGGCGGCUAUGCAAGUCGGGUGUGAAAUCCCUCGGCUCAACUGAGGAAGUGCGCCCGAAACUGCAUAGCUUGAGUGCCGGAGAGGGUGGCGGAAUUCCCCAAGUAGAGGUGAAAUUCGUAGAUAUGGGGAGGAACACCGGUGGCGAAGGCGGCCACCUGGACGGUGACUGACGCUGAGACGCGAAAGCGUGGGUAGCAAACAGG